rnacentral:rRNA from 1 species
UACGUAGGGGGCAAGCGUUGUCCGGAUUUAUUGGGCGUAAAGAGCGUGUAGGCGGCCAGAUAGGUCAGUUGUGAAAACUCGAGGCUCAACCUCGAGACGCCGAUGGAAACCAUCUGGCUAGAGUCCGGAAGAGGAGAGUGGAAUUCCCGGUGUAGCGGUGAAAUGCGCAGAUAUCGGGAAGAACACCCGUGGCUAAGGCGGCUCUCUAGUACGGUACUGACGCUGAGACGCGAAAGCGUGGGGAGCGAACAGG